GCAUACAUGUGUUAAUUUGUAUAUAUUUAUGUGUAUAUGUGUACAUGUGUAUGUGUCCAUCUUCACUUAUGUACAUUGUAUAUCAUCAAAGAAAUGUACCGUACAAUCAUGCCUCUUCACUAAAACCGCAAAUCACAUUGUCUGGUUAAAAACCCAAAAUUACAUUUUGAACGAAACUUGAAAGCUACUCAGUGUGUCAAAUAUCUUCAAUGUGUACACAUAUAAUAUUUAUAAAAUUAUGGAUGCACAUGCCACUGUUGUCUAAGCACUGGCUUCGCCCCUGAUAUUGUAUCAAACCAAAGCCUCAUGGCAUCCUCGUAUGCAUCCCCUCAAUGAGGAGAUUUGAUUUCGGACCAUCUUGUCCACUGAAAGUUUUAAUUAACAAUAACAAAGUUAACUAAAAGCAG
rnacentral:lncRNA from 1 species